rnacentral:pre_miRNA from 1 species
AGCCUUCUGUAUCCAUGCUGAAAUUCCAUCGCACACCAGAUCACAAGGACUGAUGAGACUCCCAAGAUAAGUGAACCG